GAGUUUGAUCGUGGCUCAGAACGAACGCUGGCGGCAUGCCUAACACAUGCAAGUCGAACGCUUAUCUUCGGAUAGGAGUGGCGCACGGGUGAGUAACGCGUGGGAACCUGCCCUGGGGUGGGGGAGUAACCGAUGGAAACGUCGGCUAAUACCGCAUACGUCCUGAGGGAGAAAGAUUAUCGCCCUCGGGAGGGGCCCGGCGUCGGAUUAGCUAGUUGGUGGGGUAAGUGGCCUACCAAGGCGAUGAUCCGUAGCUGGUCUGAGAGGAUGAUCAGCCACACUGGGACUGAGACACGGCCCAGACUCCUACGGGAGGCAGCAGUGGGGAAUAUUGGACAAUGGGCGCAAGCCUGAUCCAGCAAUGCCGCGUGAGUGAUGAAGGCCUUAGGGUUGUAAAGCUCUUUCGGCGGGGACGAUGAUGACGGUACCCGCAGAAGAAGCCCCGGCUAACUUCGUGCCAGCCGCCGCAGUAAG
rnacentral:rRNA from 1 species